rnacentral:rRNA from 1 species
AGUGAACGCUGGCGGCGUGCCUAAUACAUGCAAGUCGAACGAAGUGGCGCACGGGUGAGUAAUAUAUAGUUAAUCUGCCCUACACAGAGGAACAACAGUUGGAAACGACUGCUAAUACCUCAUAGUGAAGGAUGAGACUAUAUCGUAUCAGCUAGUUGGUAAGGUAAUUGCUUACCAAGGCUAUGACGCGUAACUGGUCUGAGAUGAUGCUCAGUCACAUUGGAACUGAGACACGGUCCAAACGCCUACGGGAGGCAGGAGUAAGGAAUAUUGCGCAAUGGGGGAAACCCUGACGAAGCAAUGCCGAGUGAAGGAAGACGGUCUUCGGAUUGUAAACGUCUUUAGACAGGGACGCGGUACCUGUAGAAUAAGCCACGGCUAACUACGUGCCAGCAGCCGCGGUAAUUC